rnacentral:rRNA from 1 species
GACGAACGCUGGCGGCGUGCUUAACACAUGCAAGUCGAACGGAAAGGCCCUGCUUGCAGGGUACUCGAGUGGCGAACGGGUGAGUAACACGUUGGUGAUCUGCCCUGCACUUCGGGAUAAGCCUGGGAAACUGGGUCUAAUACCGGAUAGGAGCCAUUUUUAGUGUGAUUGUUGGUAAGAUUUUUCGGUGUAGGAUGAGCUCGCGUCCUAUCCGCUUGUUUGUGGGGUAAUGGCCUACCAAGGCGGCGCGGGGUAGCCGGCCUGUGAGGGUGGACGGCCACAUUGGGACUGAGAUACGGCCCAGACUCCUACGGGAGGCAGCAGUGGGGAAUAUAGCACAAUGGGCGCAAGCCUGAUGCAGCGACGCCGCGUGGGGGAUGACGGCCUUCGGGUUGUAAACUCCUUUCGCUAGGGACGAAGCUUUAUGUGACGGUACCUAGAUAAGAAGCACCGGCUAACUACGUG